rnacentral:misc_RNA from 1 species
UGAUCCUGCGGGAGGCGUCA